ensembl:lncRNA
CUUUAAAGGGCUGUAUCUGCUUACUGUGUCCCUGCCCCUUAUCGCCCCCCUGUCCCGCCACCUGCACCGGUGUCUUAAAACAGCCUUCGAUCUAUACGCAAGGUUCCUAUUUGGCCUUAAAGUUGAGCAAAUGACGCGCUUCAAUUUCACCGUCUUGGAAGAGAGCUGGAUUCCCAUCCAGACACCACGUUCUCCUGUUCUUCGCGUCUCGUUAUCUACCUCCUCUGAAUGUAGCGGCUUUUCUGGAAUUGUAGUCUACUCAUUCAAGGAAAAGAGACAAUCUUCUUUUAGUUUUUUUUUCCCUCUUGGGCCAUUUUCAUUUUCUGCAUUGUGUUUUUUCCCCUUUUGAAGCAAAGUGACCAAAGUCUCUUGGCAAAGGCAGCCCUGCACAGCCGUGUGAAUUCAAACCUCCCUCCAAGUGUCAUUUUGAGCUCAGAGUUGUAUUUUUUUUCUCUCCCUCACUUUUCCGUUUAUUUAAACCAAGACAUGCCAAAACUGAAUUUGCUGUCAUUCCUGUUCUGAUGAGGGUCUUUUAUGUUGCCGAUUUUUAAAUUGUUCACAUCCACUGCUAAGCUCCUCGUGUCUUGUUGUUGUAAAGGUGUCAGCUUUGAUUUCUAUUCUACAUUUCCUUAUUUUUGUUAACAAUAAUGCUUACACAACACAAGAUAUGCUGUAAACCCCGUUAGGACAUAAUGUGAAUACGUAUCACUUAAUAUAGUUCACUUUUUGGCUUGACUGUAAGUUGCGUUAAUUAAUAAAAUGUUUCAAGUUUUCCUGUGACUUUUCUGGGGGGGUUUUCACAGCAGACAUUUGGACUCGUCAAAGUAAGAGCAGGCGCAUGUGUUACUUACAUUAACGUUGUUAUAUUCAGUCUUAACAGUGUGACGUGAGCCAGCAUGCACAAUACUACACAUGACAGGUAAAUGGGAUUCAACCAUUACUCGUUUUGUGCUUCUACCACCAUAACGUGUAGUGGGCAAUAAAUGGCAGAAACCUUUAAUGGCUUUAGAAAACUGUUUAAUUCAAGCG